UUCAGUCAAAGGGAUGACUUCAGUCUCUUUCUUAACUAAUCCUGUCACUGUAAAAUCCUACAGUCAUUCUUCCAACAUAAAGGGAAAACGGACUCACUAGGAGGACCUAGACUCUUUCAGCUUGAACUGUUAACCAAUGGUGGAAAUGCAAGAAUGCUGAAGUUGUGCCUUCAGAGCCAAUAGAGUGGAUUUGUGUGUCCCACAUGACUGUGUUUCCCCUGUCUUUCACAUGGGCAGUAUUUAGUUCAAUUCAGAACUGCAGAUAGUAUAGCGUGCAGAACAGCAAUGGGAUGUCUGAGCACAAGUAGCUGACUUCCAGGCGACUUCAGGAAGCAAAUUUGUACAUUUCUCCUGAAUUAUCUGGGAUUCUGCACCCCUGACAUUCUCCAACCCUCCUUUUCGCUGCAGAAGGAGACAGCGACCUGCACAGCACAACGAAACUACAAAUCACCACAGAGCUACAGACCAGCAAUGAAGAGAGCUGAGGGCAAUUUGACCAACAUCAUCCGUGUCGGUUCCCCAGAAGUCGAUGAAACAAGUAAUCAGGUCUCAAGACCACAAGAUUUAGAAGAUCACUGGUGAAGAAAGACACUGGGCCAACCCAUUCUGUUGAUAUGACACAAAGUACAGCACAGUUUGGUAUUCCUUCCACUCUGAAGGAGUUUCACAUCAGAGCUAAAGGUCUGGCAAGUGAAGAACUAAAUGACAAAUACCACAUCAGCUGAACAUAAAAGCAUUCCAUGUAACAGAAGAUACCCACACUUUGAGACCAGAGACCAGUUUAAAUCCUUAACCAUGCAGGAUGGCAAAACAUUUGUUACAUAACAGCAGCUUCACAUGGCAUUUUUACAUCCUGCCAUCUUUUCACAGAAGAACAGAAAAUUAGACUUCUACCGGCUCUGAGAGACGGGGAGUGGAGCCAGCAGCAAUAUUUAGCAGAGUGACUGAUUUCUGGCACCAUCUAGCUUCUCUGCAACAGGAAUCUGGCAGCCUGGCUGGCAUGCACUAGUGCUUCAAGAUGUUUUGCAGCUGCUACUCUUCCCCAGAGAUGGCUGUAUUCCAGUAAGUGGUGAAAUACUCCCUCAAACUCUUUUUUCCAGCAGAGGUUAACAGAGAUGUUUCCAUAGGUCUCAGGCAACAUCAAAACAUGGUGAUUGGGUGUGUGGCUGGAUUUCUUGAAAAACAUUAGCCUUAGAUUGACUGCAUCAGUAAUUAGAGCUGAUGCUACACUCCAACACACUGCAGAAAAAACUGCAGUUAGUGUCUGUAGAACACAGUGAGCAUCUUAGAUUACAGUGAUUGUUAUUUGAUUUUGUUCUUGCAGUUUUUAAGAUCACAAAAGAAAAAUACUUUUCAUUUUGGCCUCUUGAUAGCUGCACAGAUUUUUUUUUACUUUCAGCAUAUAACUCAAAGUCAUCUAAGAACAAAUUGAAUUUCUAAUAACUACAGUCAACUGGAUUUAAUUCCUUUCAGUGGAAGCACAGCAGUGUCAAUACUUACUGAGAUUUAGUAUUAGUGCUGAUUUAUUGAAAGUAAAAUGUCAAUACAACAUGAAAAUGUGUCAUUUUAGAAAGGUUUAAUAAAAAAGUUGAACACAACACAAAAAAUUGAAAAUAUAAGAACCAAUAACUGAUCAUUCUAAUUCACUUCUUUCCAGAUGAGCAUCCAGGUGUCAGCUGGUAUAAAUGCAGAUGCCACUGUCAAUGGAGCUGUGUCAGUUUACUCUAGCUGAGAAUCUGAUCCCAAGUGUGCUACUGCCAUUUUUAGACACUGCCACUGGAAUUCACUUUUGCAAGACAAUUAAAAAAAUAAAAUACAUCCACACAUUGCAUUUCUUCCUGUCCCUAAGUGUUUAACUGGAAGUUUGUUGACAGACUGUGGGAGAGGGCAAGUGGGAGGUGGAAGUAGCCAACAACUGCAUCCAUGAGAUAACUAUGCAGUAUCAGUACAAACACUGUUCCGUUGUCUUCCUUUUAUACAAACGAAUAUUUGGCUUCAGAAAGUUUUAACUCCACCUUCCACUAACAAACAAUUCCAUGUCAGCGAAAGAAAAAUGAUGCUGUAAACCACGUGAACUAUCUACCUCAUAAUUUUGCUAACAUAGUAUUUUAACCAGUACACAUUCUGGAUAGACGGUUUUAAUGCACCAUUAGAAAAAGCACCUACAGCUACAAGAGCCCCAAGGCUGAGUUCUGGGUAUUCACCUAUGUAUUUGUACCUAAGCAAUCUCCCUGCUGUACCAGCAGGAAGAUUGGUAACAGCUCUAAGGCAGCUGUUUGAAGUGGCCUGCAAGCCAGACUUUGAUCUGGCUGACAUCUUUCAUAUCUCACCGAGCAUUUGUGUGGGCGAGAGAGGAGGAAGAAAGGAAAAGGUGGGGCAAUAAGCAGGGCAGAGUAGUACUUGACAGCUCCACCAUUUCCAAGCAGGGAGAAGGAGCUUUUGCCUGUUUUACAUAAGGCAGUCAUUAACAUGAGUGCAUUGUAUAACAGCUUCCCAGUACUAACCACUGCAAUGGAGUUGGAAUGUUGGUCUUUUUAUUCAACAUAGCAAGGUCAAAAUGGAAAAGGUAAUUAAUUAGACCUGAAGAUGCUGUUCACAUAGUAUUGAAAUAAUUGUCUAUUUGUGCAAGCACAACAACCAUAUCUUCAAUUUAGGUCAGGCCAUCAAGAGGAGGAAAAGGACUGAAGACUGAAGAUGAGAUGCUCUACUUCACACAGUUGCCCUCUGGAAGGACUUGCAAAGGCAGUCACUUAAAUUAAGUACAGACUUAAGAGUGGACCUAGCAGAAAAGAACUCUGACAAGCUGAGCUUCAAGAACACCUGCAUAAGAACUCUGCUCACAAAUUAAAAUAAGAAAGAAAGUCUGUGAAACUGCCAGCUCCUUGCAGAAAGACUGAAACAUGAUCCGCAGAGAAGGGUGUUGGUGUCGGUAAGAGAAAAAUGAUUGAAGUUGCAUCAUCUGUAUAAUGAAAAUCAUUGUGUGAACUUUGAUUUCCCCCCCACUACUUUCAGACAUUUGAGGAUGCAGCCAAGUCAAUGGAGUUCUGUUGUAGUGGUUGCUUCAGUGAACAUUCAACGCUGUCGGUGAGUUUGGAAUUAAAGUGAAAACCAUCGACCGUUGAUUGUACCCUCCAGCUAACCAUCCUCCUCCUUACUUCAUGCUUUCAGGCCUUAACACCGAAGAUAGCAACCUAACCAUCAUAUGAUGUUUCUCCCUCACCCUGCCAAGCUUUACAAAAAGGUCACAAUGAACAUUCAUUGCUGUCGGUGGGUUUAACUAUGUGGACAAGCUCACUGAACAAUGAAUGCAACUGUGGCCCCACAUUGUACGGUUUCCAUUGAGAGGAGCAGCAGCUCUGAAGGUGAUAGUGAGAAACAAACACUUCUUAUAAGCUACAGUUUUCUGGUCAGAAAAAAUAGUUGGCGUUAUCCACUUUUUGCUUGCUUGGCUUUGAGUGUUGGUUUAGCCAACUAGGAAAAUACCUGCUGCCUUUUUCUGGAGCAUCGUCCUCACAGGGGUUCAGUAACAUUGAAAAUGUGAGAAUUCUUAUUUACUAUGUAUGCAGAAAAAAUAACAGGACAGGAAGCUCUGUAUAUCCACUCCUAAGGACUCUGACUGAAGAGGAAAGAAUAUUUAAUUGCCAUUUAACUAGACAUUGUUGAAGAGUUCAAAAGUUUCUAUACUUGUCAUGACAAAUGCAAUCGGGAACAUAUGGGAUUUAAGAGUUAUGGAUAAAAAUGUUAUAUCAAAAAAAUUAAUUUUACAUUAAACUGAUUUUAAGAAUACAAAUACUAUUGCAUUUGCUAUUCUUAGGGAUCUGAAAGGUGACAAAAAAAUGUAUAUCCAGAAAUAAUAAUGGAAAAGCAGUUAAAUUUUAAAGUUACUGUAAACUGAGUACCUAUGUCACGUUUUGAGUUUUGUGAUAAGAAAAUAAAGUGUAAAUAAGCUCA